rnacentral:rRNA from 1 species
UUAAGUGACGAUAGCCUAGGAGAUACACCUGUACCCAUGCCGAACACAGAAGUUAAGCCCUAGAACGCCGGAAGUAGUUGGGGGGUUGCCCCCUGUGAGAU